CAGCCGUAAACUAUGCGCGUUAGGUGUAUCGGUGACCACGAGUCACCGAGGUGCCGAAGGGAAACCGUGAAACGUGCCGCCUGGGAAGUACGGUCGCAAGGCUGAAACUUAAAGGAAUUGGCGGGGAGCACCACAACAGGUGGAGCCUGCGGUUUAAUUGGACUCAACGCCGGGAAGCUCACCGGAUAAGACAGCGGAAUGAUUGCCGGGCUGAAGACUCUGCAUGACUAGCUGAGAGGAGGUGCAUGGCGUAGACGUCU
rnacentral:rRNA from 1 species